CCUACGGGAGGCAGCAGUGAGGAAUAUUGGUCAAUGGGCGCGAGCCUGAACCAGCCAAGUCGCGUGAGGGAAGACGGUCCUCUGGAUUGUAAACCUCUUUUGUCGGGGAGCAAAAGACGCCACGCGUGGCGUUCCGAGAGUACCCGAAGAGAAAGCAUCGGCUAACUCCGUGCCAGCAGCCGCGGUAAUACGGAGGAUGCGAGCGUUAUACGGAUUUAUUGGGUUUAAAGGGUGCGCAGGCGGAAGAUCAAGUCAGCGGUAAAAGUGAGAGGCUCAACCUCUUCGAGCCGUUGAAACUGGUUUUCUUGAGUGAGCGAGAAGUAUGCGGAAUGCGUGGUGUAGCGGUGAAAUGCAUAGAUAUCACGCAGAACUCCGAUUGCGAAGGCAGCAUACCGGCGCUCAACUGACGCUCAUGCACGAAAGUGUGGGUAUCGAACAGGAUUAGAUACCCCGGUAGUC
rnacentral:rRNA from 1 species